CAGGAGAAAUGACAAGCCCAGAAGUGGAAUCACACACACCCGCACACACUGCUCUCACAUCCUCUCCGGCUGCCAUCGAAAACAUGGAGUCAUAGACCUUGACCUUCUCUGUCCUCAGAUGCCAGGUUUGCAAUUUAUCAAAUAUUGUGGCAGGCACUUGUAAGGAGGAGGACUGAGACAAAACAACCACCCUCACACCCAGACAUCUUUUUGUAAGUUGGGACCUUGAUCUGCAACAAAUGGCUAUGUUACCUUACUGACCAUCUCCCAGAGACUUUCAGAGAAAUAUUAUAGCCAAAAGCUGAUUUUACAGCUGCCCACAGACUUAUCAGACUUGUGUCACGGACUUAAUAUGAUUGCACUGAGAUUGGCACUUUGUUAUUUUCAAAUGAUGGAACAAUCAGCUCUUAAGACAAUGUAGUUUGGAUAAAGUAAGCAGUUCUUUUAAUUAAAUUACUUAAUAAUAACA